rnacentral:rRNA from 1 species
CAUGACGGUACCGUAAGAAUAAGCACCGGCUAACUACGUGCCAGCAGCCGCGGUAAUACGUAGGGCGCAAGCGUUGUCCGGAAUUAUUGGGCGUAAAGAGCUCGUAGGCGGUUUGUCGCGUCUGCUGUGAAAACCUGAGGCUCAACCUCGGGCUUGCAGUGGGUACGGGCAGACUAGAGUGCGGUAGGGGUGACUGGAAUUCCUGGUGUAGCGGUGGAAUGCGCAGAUAUCAGGAGGAACACCGAUGGCGAAGGCAGAUCUCUGGGCCGUAACUGACGCUGAGGAGCGAAAGC